rnacentral:lncRNA from 1 species
CGGUUCCAGUAAAGCCUGUUCCGCCAAUAUGUCAUUUAUAGCCUCAUUUUGGAUUUAUUUCUGUCAGAAUAGAACAACGGCAAUUUAACAUCAUUUUAGUACCUGUCUUCAAUAAGUUGAGAAGGAAAAAACAACAGGAUGAGGGUAUCAGCAGUAAUUUUCUGGGUUGUAUGUAUAACAGUUGCAGCAUUAUCACUUGUAGAAGCUGGGGAAGACGAGGACAACACCAACGUUGAUAAAUUAUGUGCCGAGAUAGCCGAAGAAGAAUCGGCAACAUGUUUGUUCAAGAAUACCAUAUGGACUUUCGAUGCUAGCACAAGAAACUGUGUGGCAAAAGUUGGCUGUUAUCCAAGAUUUGCACCUGAAAACAACGUCUUUAGGAGACCGGAUCACUGUCUUACAUGGUGUAUUACAGCAUAAAACUAGUGUCUUAUUGUCUAUCAUUUAUACCACAUGCAAGGAAGUUUCUUGAGUCCUUACAAAUAGUUACGUCUAAUAGUUAUUAUCAAUAAUUUCUAAAAAUAUUCAGGGACUUAUGUAAAUUAAUAGUUUUUAUGUAGUAUUUGGAUAUUUGUUAAUUAAAUAAUUUUGUUAAUAGAUAAAAAAUAUGGAAUGAAAGUUACUGCCAAGGAGUUCAUUUAUUGUAAACAAAAGUUUAUACAAUACAUUAUUAAUGAGCCGCACCAUGGGAAUACCAACACAGUGUGUUUGCGACCAGCAUGGAUCCAGACUUGCCUGCGCA